CCAGGAACCUCGGACUGGGCAAACCAUCUGACAUUGGCGUAAGUCCAGCAUCCUGAGAGAGCACCCAGGUGGCAUAACAAAAAACACGAAAACUGGCUCUGCUGGCAGAAGGGCUCUGCAUCUCACACCUUGCCUAUCAUGGCAUUUGGAGGGUUCACGAAUCAGGAGACUCGAUGAAUGCAACAUAGUACUCCAAAGAGAAUCUAGGCUGUACAUACAGGUGCUGGGGCUGCAGUAGAAGAUAAUCCACUUCCAUCAUGGACCAUGGAGAAAGAGAGAAUUCCUGAUUCUGAGAUUCACCUCUGCUGUCAAACCCUAAAAUCUUUUGCUGGUUCCCAUCUUCCAGAAAUACACCUGUAGAUCAGAGAUUAUUGCUGUACCUUUUCCAGGAUAGGCAUUCAAAGGGAAGACAAAUCUAAGUGAUCUUUAACUUUAUAAAGUAUACUUAUCAUUUGUAUUGUUCUGCCAAUCCGUGAAAAAGGCUUUCAAGUCUUGGAGAUUUUAAACUUUCAUUUGCUUGCAAUUCUGCAUAUUUAUGAGAGUCAUAUGCCCUUUUCAGCUUCUAAAGUGUUUUAGAGCAAUAAUUAAAGAAAAAGAUCAUAUCUAAGACUUCAAAUACAUAUACUAUUGCAGUGAAAAAUGAGAUUAAAGAUACUAUUUUGGUCUCUAAUCUUACCUCUUCAUUUUCUAGCCAAAAUGGUAUUAGCUUCUUUAUGUGUAGCUGACUCACCAAAGCAGCAGCAUUUCCGUGCUCAUAUUUUAAAUAAUCAGCAGUCUAUUUUUAUUAAUUUGUCAAAAAAUAAAGAUGUGGGAAAAAAACCUGAGAGAUAUUUGCAAUAACAGCACAGGUUUUGCUUUAAAUAAUCAAUACCCUGAUAUGACUCAUAGCUGGGGUCAAGAGCCAGAGGAACUGAGCUUUCUUUUUUUUCUUUUUUUUUUUUUUUAUUCACAGAUUAAUUAAUUAAAACCUCCAAAAUGUUGCUAUCACACAAAUUGAUACCAGUAGUAACUGAAGAGUCAAAUACCAGUCAGAUGCUGGGUACUGCUUCUUGUCUGGCUGCUGAAGGUGUGACAGUGUUCCUCUUCUCCAGCUGUGGUCUGGGAGCUGGAUUGACUGUAGGACA